GUCGGGGGGGCGGCCUUCAAACCAGGAGGGCCAGCAGCGUUUCAGGGGGU
rnacentral:tRNA from 11 species